CAGACUCUAUGCAAAGCGCCCCACUAUGCGCGUGCUGCUGAGAGCACAUGGAGGAGAGAGGAGGACGGACACUUAGCAGCCUGGCUAAUGUAGCCUGUGGGUCGCAAAAUAUUUGUAAAUACAUUUAUUUGGAAAUGAACAACACUUCAGAUCUGGAAAUCGGACUGGGUUGCCCUAGGCGUCCAACGUGAGAUGCUUUUGGGAGUCUUGUUUCGCCACGUGUCACAGACCCACAUGUCCUCAUGGAAUUCAUCUAUGUGUUCUUACAGCUGAUAUUGCUGCUGUGUUGGCCAGCGACCACCUCUCUGCAUUAAGCCAAAGAUGAAAGAAAAAUAUUGAGGAUGUGAGCAGUCCCUUCACCUUUAAGAGUUAUCUUCAAAAUGGAGCUUGUUCUUUGUCCUAAGUUUCAGUCUGAGCGCGAGAGGUCCCGCCGCACUCAACUGCCAGCAUUUACACUCCGUCCUCUCUCACUGCACACCUUCCUGUGGAGAUUGGCUCUCUUCGAUUCCUCUGAGAUGAAUGUCUCUUUGAACCUCUUGUGGCAUUUGAGUGAACUGCAGUUACAGGUUCCAGCUCUGUGGUGAUUCAUCGAAUGGGAACUUCAGAGGAAUUUGCUGCAUCACAGACCAAAUCUGUUCAGGUUUUCAUGUGUACACAACAUUCCUUUGAUGUGACCAACAAGAGUAUAUAAAUGAUGUCUCUUGAGAGAGAUCUGUUUACUGGUUCUCAAUUACUUUCGGUCUUUCUGUUUAUCCAUCAUCUUAGGCUCACUUUCACAGUCUCUCCACCACUGUUGUUUCAUACAGCGAUUUGUAUGAAUAAUUUAUGCCACAUUGCUUCGCCGUCAUUAAAGGUGACCUUGGUUAAUUAUUGAUCAGGUCAGAUGAUUACAGUCCUGACCUCUAGGUUCUCGUCUACCGCUCGGCUCAGUUUUCAUGUCUACGCUCUUCCUCUUUGUAUUCCUGGAGACCCUCAUAUGAUGAAUUACUGUCUAUUGUUAUUGCUGGGGGAGUGUUGGUGCAUUUACAGAGACAUGAAAUGUAAAAUUA